UUUGUUGUUUUAGAAGCGUUUAUGAUUUCUUCGUCGAAAAAAAAAAGAUUUCUUCAUCGGCUAAAUUAUUCAUGGUUCGAUACUUCGAUUUGUAUAAAUAUUUAGUUUUAAUUAUUGUCGGCAUGAAAUUACACAGUUGCAAAUAAAACCCUAUGGUGUAAAUUCGAAAAAUGCAAAUAUAGUUAUGGAAUCCUAAACGUGAGACUAUUUAAAAUACGGAAUAUGGAAUCAUAAAUUAUAAAGACGGUGCGGCGUUUUUGGUUUAUGUAUUUACGUUUACUGGAACUAAUACUAAAAAGUCUCAAAUCCAUAAAAUUAUAAGCGAUUUAGGUUGACAAAGCGAUCCUCCGUUACAUUUUUUUUUCCAAAUAUCUGAGGUUCUCAACAAAAAUAAUCCUAAAUUUAUAAACCAAAAGUCGAUUUAUAUAAUCGCAAUUUUGU
rnacentral:lncRNA from 1 species